UAGGGAAUCUUCGGCAAUGGACGAAAGUCUGACCGAGCAACGCCGCGUGAGUGAAGAAGGUUUUCGGAUCGUAAAACUCUGUUGUUAGAGAAGAACAAGGACGUUAGUAACUGAACGUCCCCUGACGGUAUCUAACCAGAAAGCCACGGCUAACUACGUGCCAGCAGCCGCGGUAAUACGUAGGUGGCAAGCGUUGUCCGGAUUUAUUGGGCGUAAAGCGAGCGCAGGCGGUUUCUUAAGUCUGAUGUGAAAGCCCCCGGCUCAACCGGGGAGGGUCAUUGGAAACUGGGAGACUUGAGGGCAGAAGAGGAGGGUGGAAUUCCAUGUGUAGCGGUGAAAUGCGUAGAUAUAUGGAGGAACACCAGUGGCGAAGGCGGCUCUCUGGUCUGUAACUGACGCUGAGGCUCGAAAGCGUGGGGAGCAAACAGG
rnacentral:rRNA from 1 species